rnacentral:lncRNA from 1 species
GAGGAGGCCGGCCAGGGUGCGGAGCGGCCCCGGCCCGCUCCCAGGGGGGAGAUGGCGUCCUACGUAGAUAACAGCUUCCGCCAGGCGGUGAUGAAGAAUCCCCCCGAAAGGACCCCCCAGGAUCUGGAAAUAGUAUAUUCCUAUUUACAUGGUAUGGAAGCCUUAUCAAACUUGAGGGAGCAUCAACUUAGGUUAAUGUGUGAAACUGUGAGAUAUGAGAGACACGAAGCAAAUGAAGUUUUAUACUAUUCCCUUGUCAACUUCAACUUGAUCGCUUGCAUUUACUGGCCGCCUCCUU